UGGGGAAUAUUGCGCAAUGGGCGCAAGCCUGAUCCAGCCAUGCCGCGUGGAUGAUGAAGGCCUUAGGGUUGUAAAAUCCUUUCGUGGGGGACGAUAAUGACGGUACCCCAAGAAGAAGCUCCGGCUAACUUCGUGCCAGCAGCCGCGGUAAUACGAAGGGGGCUAGCGUUGUUCGGAUUUACUGGGCGUAAAGCGCGUGUAGGCGGGUCGUUAAGUUGGGGGUGAAAUCCCGAGGCUCAACCUCGGAACUGCCUUCAAAACUGGCGACCUGGACUCAAGCAGAGGCAAGUGGAAUUGCGAGUGUAGAGGUGAAAUUCGUAGAUAUUCGCAGGAACACCAGUGGCGAAGGCGACUUGCUGGGCUUGUAGUGACGCUGAGACGCGAAAGCGUGGGGAGCAAACAGGAUUAGAUACCCACGUAGUCCCUGAGCGGGCUGGCAAGGCGCAU
rnacentral:rRNA from 1 species